AAGGGUUAAGGUUAGGGUUAGGUGUAGGGUUAGAUUUUAUGGUUGAUUAAGGGUUAAGGUUAGGGUUAGGUGUAGGGUUUGAUUUUAGGGUUGAUUAAGGGUUAAGGUUAGGGUUAGGUGUAGGGUUAGAUUUUAUGGUUGAUUAAGGGUUAAGGUUAGGGUUAGGUGUAGGGUUAGAUUUUAGGGUUGAUUAAGGGUUAAGGUUAGGGUUAGGUGUAGGGUUAGAUUUUAUGGUUGAUAAAGGGUUAAGGUUAGGGUUAGGUGU